CCUAAUACUAUUCAUCAUGACUUAACACAACAAAAUCCCAUGACUUAAAUAUUUUUACUGUCAUUACCUUGUUGGGUUCCUCGCCUGCAAUUGCUUCCGUUAUUAUGCAUGGGGUUGUGAUGCCAUCAACAAGAGCUUCGGCAAUGAUAGAACUGUUAACGCCCAAUCCGAUGGUAGUUAAAUUGGUGUUAUGUGAAAUAUGUGUAGAGUACAUAUGAUCCAAUCCCUUAUGAGAUUAUAGAACAAUAGAGAUUUUGAUGAUCAAAGAUUAAUACCUCUGUUGUCAGAGUAAGACUCUGUAAACCCUACAUCGUUCCUUCUCAGGAUCUUCAUCUUGCUCGCCGUCCCACUCCAUCUCCUUCGGCUCCAUCUCGUCCCGCUCCCGGCCGCGCUCCUGCUCCUUCUCGUCGUCGCCCUCCCAGUCCCGGAGCCACUCCCCUCCUCAGGCUAAGCGCAGGUGAGGCUCGACCCUACAUGGUAUAAAUCCACUGAUUGUUGGCUGAUCUAUUAGGUUCUGUUGCAUUUGUCACAUUGGUAAGAAAAUAUCAUAGCAGCAUCUGAUAGCUUUCGUUGUACCUCUGAUGGAGGAGGCUCUGUGGAUGUUCUGCGUUCUGCCACAGGUUGUUUAUCUUGUUUUGAUGUUGACAAAUGAUACUUUGAUUUUCAGUUGUCUGCAGGGUUGGAUUAGUGCCAUUGCGUGUACAGCUAAACCAUUUAGUGCAAUCUGACUCAUCUUCAUCUGAUCUCACCUCAUGGCUAAUUGAAAAUUGUACCAUUGAACAAUCUGUAUACCGUUUCUGUUUUUUGUGCAAAAUAGGAAAUGUUUAUCAGAACAUCCUAGGCGUGCUAUUUUGUUUGUUGCAACUAACAAGAUCCUUAUGUGAGGACUGACCAGAAUUAAUUCCCCUAUUUAUUUACAUGGGUCUGAUUAUUUGAGAUCUUUACAGUAUAUAUUUGUUUUGUUUUCAGGUUUGCUGGGAAGAAGAGAUAAUGCUUUCAGGCACAGCUUUACGCAUUGUAGCUAGCAUGGUGAGUAGGCUGGGGAAUUCUCAAUCACUAAUCAUUCCUCUUUUUUUCAGGAUAUGGUAGCCUUCUCUUGUUGUGUCUUCGAUGAUGGUGACAAUGAGAAAAAGGAAUUGGAUGCGGACAGGGAAACGGUUGGAUAUGGAAAUUUACUAGGCCAGGACGUGUAAUAAGUCCUGGAACAAUAAGGAUGAAUGGGAAAUGUCCAAUGACCCCUUUGGAGGUAUGUCUGUACUUAAAAGAUGGUAUUUCUGCUUGGAAUGAAGCUUCAAGAAUUUUAUCCUCAAGCAAAUAUAGCAGGUGAUCCUGAACCUUUACAUGCUUACACUUGUGAUGCUUAGGUUGGAUUAAUGCUGCGUGGAAUGGGUUUCAAAAACGAUACUGUAAUAUAUUUGGCUUCUGGAAGGAUAUGUAAAGCAGAAAAGAACAUGUCUCCUCUCCUUGAAAUUUGCCCUGUCUUGUACACAAAAGAAACGAUGGCACUGGAUGAAGAACUUACUCCAUUCAAGAUAUUGUAAUACUCAAAAGUAUAAUAAAAGUGGAUAGAGAUAAACCCAUUAGUUUGUGGCCUCUACUAUUCAUUGCAUGUGAUCAACACUAGUUAAAAGUGGGUAAUUAGAACCAAGAACACCUAAAUAACAUGUGCAUCAUGCUGGAUCUUACUUUGUGUGCAUUUUGUGAUGAUAUAAAAAUAUGGUAAACAAAAAAAAAAUUAUGUUAAUACCCCAAUGGGAAAUUAAAUCCUAAAAGAAAUUC
rnacentral:lncRNA from 1 species